AACGAACGCUGGCGGCAGGCUUAACACAUGCAAGUCGAACGCACCGCAAGGUGAGUGGCAGACGGGUGAGUAACACGUGGGGAUCUGCCCAAUGGUACGGAAUAGCUCCGGGAAACUGGAAUUAAUACCGUAUGUGCCCUUCGGGGGAAAGAUUUAUCGCCAUUGGAUGAACCCGCGUCGGAUUAGCUAGUUGGUGUGGUAAAGGCGCACCAAGGCGACGAUCCGUAGCUGGUCUGAGAGGAUGAUCAGCCACACUGGGACUGAGACACGGCCCAGACUCCUACGGGAGGCAGCAGUGGGGAAUAUUGGACAAUGGGCGCAAGCCUGAUCCAGCCAUGCCGCGUGAGUGAUGAAGGCCCUAGGGUUGUAAAGCUCUUUCGCCGACGAAGAUAAUGACGGUAGUCGGAGAAGAAGCCCCGGCUAACUUCGUGCCAGCCGCCGCCGUAA
rnacentral:rRNA from 1 species